CUUACUGGAUGCCAUUUGUUCUUUCAGAUUUUCGUGCUGGACAACAUUGACCUUGGGAUAUUCAACAUGGAGCACUCUGUAUUUCCGCGUGUGCAGUGUUUUCAACAGAAAAAACUUAACCAGAUGAUCAUCAUGGCUCGGUGCACGCAGCGGGGCAUGAUAACCUAUGUCCCAGGAGCUUUGCGUCCUCCAGAUUCGGUUUGCUAUAUUCGGGUCAUUGCGUCGAGCCCAGUGUACAGAGACAGUAGAUUAAUGGAGUCCUCA